UAGCCUACGGGACGCAGCAGUGGGGAAUAUUGCACAAUGGGCGAAAGCCUGAUGCAGCAACGCCGCGUGAAGGAAGAAGGGUUUCGGCUCGUAAACUUCUAUUAACAGGGACGAAAGAAAUGACGGGACCUGAAUAAGAAGCCCCGGCUAACUACGUGCCAGCAGCCGCGGUAAUACGUAGGGGGCAAGCGUUAUCCGGAAUUACUGGGUGUAAAGGGUGAGUAGGCGGCAUGGUAAGCCAGAUGUGAAAGACUUGGGCUUAAACCGAGGAGUGCAUUUGGAACUAUCAAGCUAGAGUA
rnacentral:rRNA from 1 species